AUGUAAGUUUAGAAUCGCCGUCCGGGUUUCUUCCGGUUUCCGUUAUCUGGAUUUUUUCCGGCUAUUAUCUCCCGUUGAUCGGGAUUUAGAUUUCUUUUUGGGCAAUUUUGAAUUCGGUUUCUUCGGAUUUGUUUUUGUUUUGUAGCUUUAAAAUCUUGAUGAUGAAACAUUAUGACAGGCAGAAUCUUCAGUUCCGAAGAGGUGUUCUCUUCGCAUGAUUU